rnacentral:tRNA from 1 species
ACACAAAAGACCUAGUAGUUAACUAGGUCUCUGUGAUAAUUUGGCCUUCCCUAGAGGAAUCGAACCUCCAUUUACUGAUUAGGACUCAGUCGUGUUAUCCAUUACACCAAGGGAAGUUAGUUGAGGUACUUCAACGCUGCUUCUAGUUUAAUUUGUUUGAACUUCUUGUUAACUAAUACUAAAAAGAAGAUCCGCUCGCCCAAAGUGAGGUAAAACACCUUGUUUUCCGCCUGCUGAGUUUGUCAAAAGUUAAUUUUCUCUUCUAUAAAAUCGCUAAACUUUUGCUGUGAAAACCAGUUCAAUGGCACUAGUUGCGCACGUUUGUCUGAAUCAAUGUUUUCUAAGGUAACUUGAGUGUAAGUUUCAGGAAUAUAAGCGUGAGUGUUGAACAAUUCUGGUUUAAAGAGCAGGCUGUUGUCCUUAUGGUUCUUUAAACUACGGUUAAAAAAGGCGGUGAGGUUAACUGAUGCAUAAUCUUCCUUUUGCUUGUUCGUUAAACUUAAAUAGUCGUUAAAUGACCACAAGACAUUGUUAAAUUCAAAGUCAGUCGCAAUUACUAAGGCUCACAAGGCCAAAUAGUCAAACCACAACGUUUGGGGUUGGUGAAACUCCUUUAAGUUUUGUUUUAUACGAAACAAAAAGUUGACAAUUUGCCGCGGAGUCUUUAACAAGGCGAAGAAGUCCUCUAAGUAAAACAUGUCAGCAUCCAGGGCCAACUCUUCAAACAAGAGGUUGUACUUACUAAUUUGUGCCAACGGACUAAUUUGACUCUUUAAAUCAAGGUACAGACUACUUUGUUUAAGGUUAAUGUCGGGUUCCACCUUGUUUUUAAUUAACAACAUGUUGCUCUCUUUACAACCGACUAACACAAAGCAGUUCGUUUGCUUCAAGAGCAACAGUAGGUUCAUCGCUUGGGUUAUGUAUUCCUUUUCCUCAAAGUCAAAGCCAUAAAAGAAGCACACCCCGGUAUUUUUCAGUUGGUACCGCCCGGUUUGAUUUUGUUCACUGUUAGCAAAACAGAAGUACUUGUUAAUUAACCGAGAGAGAAUUUGGUGGAGCUGUUGUAAGCUCUUUUUUUGACGAAUUGAAAAUAACGAUGAGACUAAAAAGAUUAACGAUGAGACUAAACCCAGCGCAAUUGCAAACACCGAAAAGAUUACUAAAAAGACAAACGCACCAUGACCAGCGUUUUCCAAAAUUGCUUUUUGCUGGGAAAUGGUAAUCGAAAAGAUGGGUGUACCUAAGGUAGUACCCACGGUAACGAGUGUCGUUAAAAUCGGUCACUGCUCCUUAAUGAAGCUCAAGAUGCCACGUUCAUUGACAAACUGAAAGAUCUUGCUUACCUUCUUUUUUAACCAUAGUUGGCGCAAAAGCAAAAAGGGCACUAGUAACCAUAACAACCAUUUUUGCUGGGGUUUGUUUAACUGCUUUCAGCUCAAGGAACGCGCUAACACUGCCAAUAACUUAUUAGCUAUGUUGACAAAGUUACCCUUAGCUAAAGUAUUGGGUGGAUUUUUCUUGUUUCGCUUAACAAAAGCGGGGAGAAAGUUAAUAGUAAGGUCUUGGACAAAGGUAGGUUGGAAAUAAUUGUCCAAACGGAUUAAAAAGUUAAUUUUUUCAUCCUCACCUUCACCGGAAAACCAAAUUAUUUGUGGUUUGUCUUGGUUGUUGAGCUGAUUAAAAAUAUAGCGCAACGUUUCU